rnacentral:rRNA from 1 species
GACGUAGGGCGCGAGCGUUGUCCGGAUUUAUUGGGCGUAAAGAGCUCGUAGGCGGCUUGUCGCGUCGACUGUGAAAACCUGCGGCUCAACCGUGUAGUCUGCAGUCGGAUACGGGCUAGGCUGGGAGUUCGGUGAGGGGGAGACUGGUGAAUUCCUGGUGUAGCGGUGAAAUGCGCAGAUAUCAGGGAGGAAACACCGGGUGGGCGAAGGCGGGGUCUCUGGGCCGAUACUGACGCUGGAGGAGCGAAAGCGUGGGGAGCGAACAGG